GUGGGGAAUAUUGGACAAUGGGCGAAAGCCUGAUCCAGCCAUGCCGCGUGUGUGAAGAAGGUCUUCGGAUUGUAAAGCACUUUAAGUUGGGAGGAAGGGCAGUAAGUUAAUACCUUGCUGUUUUGACGUUACCGACAGAAUAAGCACCGGCUAACUUCGUGCCAGCAGCCGCGGUAAUACGAAGGGUGCAAGCGUUAAUCGGAAUUACUGGGCGUAAGGCGCGCGUAGGUGGUUUUGUAAGUUGGAGGUGAAAUCCCCGGGCUCAACCUGGGAACUGCCUCCAAAACUGCAUGACUAGAGUACGGUAGAGGGUAGUGGAAUUUCCUGUGUAGCGGUGAAAUGCGUAGAUAUAGGAAGGAACACCAGUGGCGAAGGCGACUACCUGGACUGAUACUGACACUGAGGUGCGAAAGCGUGGGGAGCAAACAGGAUUAGAUACCCUUGUAGUCC
rnacentral:rRNA from 1 species